GAUGAAGAACGCAGCGAAAUGCGAUACGUAAUGUGAAUUGCAGAAUUCAGUGAAUCAUCGAGUCUUUGAACCCACAUUGCGCCCCCUGGUAUUCCGGGGGGCAUGCCUGUCCGAGCGUCAUUGCUGCCCUCAAGCACGGCUUGUGUGUUGGGCCUCCGUCCUCCUCCCGGGGGACGGGCCCGAAAGGCAGCGGCGGCACCGCGUCCGGUCCUCGAGCGUAUGGGGCUUCGUCACCCGCUCUUGUAGGCCCGGCCGGCGCUUGCCGACACAUCAAUCUUUUUUCCAGGUUGACCUCGGAUCAGGUAGGGAUACCCGCUGAACUUAAGCAUAUCAAUAAGCGGAGGA
rnacentral:misc_RNA from 1 species